rnacentral:rRNA from 1 species
AUUGAAUGCUGGCGGAAUGCUUUACACAUGCAAGUCGAACGGUAGAGGGGCAACCCUUGAGAGUGGCGAACGGGUGAGUAAUGUAUCGGAACAUGCCCAGUCGUGGGGGAUAACGUAGCGAAAGUUACGCUAAUAACGCAUACGAUAUACGGAUGAAAGCGGGGGACUCGCAAGAGCCUCGCGCGAUUGGAGUGGCCGAUAUCAGAUUAGGUAGUUGGUGGGGUAAAAGCCUACCAAGCCGACGAUCUGUAGUUGGUCUGAGAGGACGACCAGCCACACUGGGACUGAGACACGGCCCAGACUCCUACGGGAGGCAGCAGUGGGGAAUUUUGGACAAUGGGCGCAAGCCUGAUCCAGCCAUUCCGCGUGCAGGAAGAAGGCCUUCGGGUUGUAAACUGCUUUUUUACGGAACGAAACGCGCUAGGUUAAUACCCUGGCUUAAUGACGGUACCGUAAGAAUAAGCACCGGCUAACUACGUGCCAGCAGCCGCAGUAACAC